rnacentral:rRNA from 1 species
GAUGAACGCUGGCGGCGUGCCUAAUACAUGCCAGUCGAGCGAACAGAUAAGGAGCUUGCUCCUUUGACGUUAGCGGCGGACGGGUGAGUAACACGUGGGUAACCUACCUAUAAGACUGGAAUAACUCCGGGAAACCGGGGCUAAUGCCGGAUAACAUUUAGAACCGCAUGGUUCUAAAGUGAAAGAUGGUUUUGCUAUCACUUCUAGAUGGAACCGCGCCGUAUUAGCUAGUUGGUAAGGUAACGGCUUACCAAGGCAACGAUACGUAGCCGACCUGAGAGGGUGAUCGGCCACACUGGAACUGAGACACGGUCCAGACUCCUACGGGAGGCAGCAGUAGGGAAUCUUCCGCAAUGGGCGAAAGCCUGACGGAGCAACGCCGCGUGAUUGAUGAAGGUCUUCUGAUCGUAAAACUCUGUUAUUAGGGAAGAACAAAUGUGUAAGUAACUGUGCACGUCUUGACGGUACCUAAUCAGAAAGCCACGGCUAACUACGUG